UGUGAGUUCAUUGUUUUGCUCGUGUUUUCAUUCAAAUCUAGGUAUGUUUUGUAAUAGAAUGAGUUUUGGUUGUGAGUUUUCUUUGUAGAUUGACUACAAUCUGUAAAUGUUAGAAAUCCCUUUACUAUUGAAUAUCUUGCAUGUUUAAUUUAUAGGGCCUGAAUUUAAGUUUUCUUUGUAUCUAUUCAUUUUACUCAAGUUUUCCUAUUUUAGGGCCUGGAUUUAAGUUACACUUUAACAAUAUUCCAUAUAUCAUCUCUUCGAUUUUUAAUUUGUGUUGCAUAAAUCAUCUCUUCUAUAAUUUUAAUUGAUUUUUGGCUAACUUUUGUAAGAUUCUACAUUUUUGUUGUAAUGACGCACAUACUCUGUUUUUUUAAUAUGAAAAAUCACACAUAUUAAUUUUUCUUGUGUUGGCAUUAUAGAAUGGAAGAACCACAAUUUUCGGUUACUUUGAGGAAUGGGUUUGAUUCACAGUACAAAACCCACUACUUGGUACUUCUUAUCCGAUCCUUUAUUAUCUUAAUCUUUAUGUAUUGAAAUAAACGUAAUUUCCAUACUAUGUGUUAAUGCAAUGUAUUAACUAUUUCCAUGUCUAUGUAGUUGAUUCCAAAAUCUUUCCAUACACAAUAUGAAGACUACUUCAGCCAGAGCAUGCAAUUCAGAUUCCUACCAAAUCUAAUUUUCUCUAUAACCGUGGAGAAAAUUCACUUUGCCAACAGGAACAUGCUCAUGUGGGCAUUGACAAAAGGGGUUCAAACGUGUGUUGAAAAAUUGAAGCUCUGCAACAAAGAUCGUCUAACAUUUACUCUAGAUUUGGCAGAAA
rnacentral:lncRNA from 1 species